rnacentral:lncRNA from 1 species
UUAGUCCCUAGCAAAACCUCCCAUGCCAAUGGGUUAGKCCAGCAGGAUGAUAUCGCUGUGGAGGGGACACUGGGGACAACACGGACCACAGCUCUGUCUCAUAUCAAACUAGGCAUGGGAUUGUCACCUCCUGCUAUCAGCAAGAGCACUGCGGCAUCCCAUGAAGCUGCUGGGCUCCCAUCCCAGGAGGUCACGUCAGAGCUGGACAAGGGCACCUCCCCUCACACAGCAGCAGGAAGAGCAGAGGGGGUGACACCACCAUUUGAAGACCUCCCAAGUGCUUCCUCAGCGAGGGCCACCUUCUCUCCCAUCAGUAGGACUACAGAGCCAGGGACAACCGCCUUACCUGCAGCUGGCCAUGACGCCUCCCAGGAGCCUCCGACACCCCCUGCUUGGCCACCUCCAGCCAUUUCCCCUGCAGGCCCUGGCAGUGCCACAGCAGAGCUGGUAGCAAGUGCCUUCCCAGUCUCAUCAGCCACGGAGUCAAGUGAAGGAGUGCCAUCGCCCACCAGCAAUGACGCAGGCCCUGGGCAAGGGACGGAGCACUUGUCCCCACAUGGGACAAAUGUCGCUGCUGGAGAUGGGCCGCCUAGAGCCAGCACCGGUACCCCCCUCCGUGCCACCACGCCAUCUCUGGACACAGCAGCCACAGCCACUGUCGGGCGCCAUGCUGAUCCAGCUGCCACCUCCUCUUCCUCCAGCAUGGAGGUAACUGCUGCAAAGGACGUCCCUGCUGGGUUGUUUCCAGACCCAGAAAAUACCACCACUGAGUUGGUCUUUGGCACAAGCAAGUCCACCUCCAGAGCAGUGACUGGCACUGCUUCCCCAAGGACCACGAGCUCCCUGAUGGGCACGGCACCAUUGCCCAGCACUGCUGGAAAGGCCCCAGCUCCCAGCACGGCAUUUCCUGAUGAUCCCAGUACUGCUGCUGGACUGAUGAACAGCGUCUCCACUGCGCCGCGUGGCAGUCCCUCUCCCAGGCCCUUCGCAGGCACGGUGUCCUCCUUCGGAGACCCCGCUGGGGCUCUGCCCACCACAACAGCCUUUGCAGACCCUGACGCUGCCACGGCAGAAGCAGCUGCAGGUGAAUCCUCUCCAGCAAGACUCAGCAUGGCGAUGUCCUUGCCCCUUGCUGGAAACAGUGCCAGAAAAGCACAGACAGAUGUGUCCCCUGGAUCCACUGCAGCACCAUCUUCCCUUGGCAGGUAUGACAAGAUGACCAUCCCAGCUGCAGACCUGUCCUCCUCCUUCACCAUGAGCCCAAUCAGUGAAGCAGGGCCAGCCUUUGGAAAUACCCCUGCCAAGGAAGGUCCCAGCGCAUCGACCGCAGCAGCGGGCAGUUCCCCCGGGCCAGGCACCGUGACGCCCUGGGAUGCCAGCCCCAUGCCUGCUUUGCCUGACGUGUCUCCUGGCCUURGCAGCAGCCGCCCAGGGCCAGCUGUGGGCUCACCGCCGCCAACAGUCAGCAUCGUGAGUGACCCUGCACCAUCCAAGGUGACUAGGAGUGGACCUGUAAGCAAGUCAGCUGUCCCUGGGUCUUCGCUGCUCCUCAUGCCAUCCUCAGACAUGACCGCUCUGGUUUCAGUCACCGACAGCAGCAACCCAGACCUGGGCUCUUCUGCAGCUGUGGCCAAGAUCUCCAUUGGACUCUCUCCCCCAUCCAGGAGCAUCACUUUUAACCCAGCCACAGCCGCUCUGGGCAUGAACACCGCGACGCCACAAGCACCUCAAAGUGUCUCAGC